CCAUAAAGCCUAAACUGUUGUGUCAAGUCUUUGCAUUGAAAGGCCUAUCAACAACCAAACUUCCAAUUUUCAAUACAUUCCAAACUUCUCCCUCUAAGACACUGCUGAGGCUUUUUGAGGUAAUUUCUCCCUUGUUAUGUCUAUAUAAUUCAUUCCUAUGCUGCUGGAUACUGGGUUGGCAGUCUCAUGAAACCACUUGGAAAGUUGUCUAGGAAGAACUCCAGAAAUCCUGACUCAGCUCGCCGCUUCUUAUUUUGCAGACUGUUUUUCACAACCCCAUGAGGCCUGUGGUGAAAAUGAGCUCCUGACGGACCCUGGCAGCCUAUAGAUGAACUCAAGUGAACUUUCCUCGUCACCAUGCUGAAGUCUCCACCCUGGGAGGAGCUAUAGCUUCAGGACCACAACGUGAAACCUGUGUGUUACCAUCACAACCCACUAAGUCUGUGCCACUGAGAGGUCCCCCACAUGUGAUGACAUAUCUUCUUCUUUAUCUAUCAUCUCACAAAACUUCUAUACCACUCUCCCUACAGAGACACUGCUUUGGAGAAUACUCCUGGUGCUAUUUUUACUUGUUACAAGUAAUAAAACUCCUACUGAGCACGACCUAUGUUUUCACAAAGAGUUGUCACCAGGCACUCUUUUCAGGUGACAGUCCUUUGUGGAAGACACAAUCUUCGCAAUGUAGAUGAUUCAAGGGCCCUUAGGCAGGCAUCAGAAUAACUUACCUAUAGAUGAUUGGGACAUAAAAUGGCUGCAGUUGAUUUUUUUCAAUCUGAAGAGAGAAACUGAGGCAAAAUUUAUAUAGGUAAAAAGUUUAUUUGGGCCAAAUUUGGGGCUUGCAACCUGGAAGACGCAGAUCCACAUUGCCCUGAAUAUAUGCUCUGAUUAGCAGCCAUUACAAGUGAGCUUUUAAAGGAAAUAAGAAAGGAUAAUUUUUACUUUGGUUCAUUAAAAUAACACAAGCUA